rnacentral:lncRNA from 1 species
CUCUCUCUCUCUCUCUCUGUUUACGUUCGAAGAAGAAACUCGCUCGUGACAUCGAAUGUUUGUAAAUGAUAAAAAUCGAUUUCACGUCGAAAGAAUUGAUCGCAGGACCCACGUCAAUGGGACAUUUUUUGCUCCUCUUGGUGAGUACUAUAUUUCAUGGACCUUUCUUUUGAACACCCUGUACAUUCCAAUACAACAACUAGACCUCACUGUCUAAAAUUGCGAUGGUUUUCUCACGUUGAGAAAAAGAAGAUAAUUUGUCAGAUCACCGUGUAUAUCACUUCGAGGCUCGGUCAAAUACAAACCGGACUCUGUUGCUAACUUUAUACUUAGGCAAAAUGUUUUAAGAAAAACAACCGACUUAUUUUUUUACGUAUAUGUCCCGUUUCUCUCUGUACACUUUUGCCGUCGGAUUGCUAAGUUUUUCAUUGCAGUUUCACAGAAAGUGGAGAGCUGGGUCAGAAAGCAAUCGCACGCGAAUUGCUCUAUUUCUUCGUUGCGCUUGAAACAUUGCCCUGCUGCUGCCUCUUUUGGUGCUCGUGAUUUUGCGGAUCUCCAACUCUCCGAAUAAUGGAAACCACGCUCUCACGACCAAUAUUUAACUUUCGAGCAAAUUUCGUCGAUCCUCACGCGUCGAUCGUGCUCGAUCGGUUUACCAACAGCUUCGACGUUUGCUGGUGUUACACUUGUCUCGAGGCGUCGCAGAUAAAAUGUGUUUUGAACGUUUCUUGCUAAUGUUUCGUCCCCAAACCGUAGUCGCGAUCUAUGCAAAAACCCAGUAGCCUUUGCGUCCUCAAAUAAAGUAAACUUAAUAAUCAUGUAUUGUGCAACCGAAGACGUACAGUUUCCUCGCUCAUUGCGUUAUUUACCGAAGAAACGAUAAACAGAGCAGCGCGUGCAGUGGAACGUCUGUGAAACAUUUUCUUUUUUUUAUUUGCAAGAAUUUUACGAUCAAUUCUCAUUGAGAAUUAUAAGUAAAUUAUUCUGGCGUGGUACUAUAACGUGUAUAAUAAGUGAUUAUCGUUAUUGAGAUAUGUAUAGUUUUAUGUGCUAGACUAGGUUAGCUGCGUAGUAGUGAUACUUGUAUGUGAAUAUCAGUGUGUGGAAGUAUGUGUGUACGCGGCGUCUCGAAAACAAAGGAAUGUAAACUGUGCUUGAUAUGGAAGAAGCUGAGACGCGUGCAAGUAUGUGCAGGCCGUGUCGUAAUGGACGCGUCACGAUCCAGCGAGCACCAAUUAAAAAAAGAGCAGACUUAGUCUCGCGACCGUCGAAGAGUUGGUUAUCAUGUGAAUUAAUGAAAUAGAAAAUUGCCUCUGGACGACGCGCACACAGCUACAAAAUCGGUGCAGGUGCGCCAGCCUGUCUUCCGUUUAAUUUCGAACAUCGACGUGAAAAAUUGGCGCGCGACCUUCUGCCUUGAUUACGUGCCACCCGGAUUCAACCUCUGGCCUCGUCGCGAGGCAAAAAUUCCUCCGAUCGUCAGCGCUAGACGCGCGCCGUCCGUACGGACCGCAUAGGCCGCGGGUAUUGAGCACUCAAAAGGUUAAGAAUGACCAGGGACAGAACGAAUCUGUAGCAAGUUGCAUAAACCAAUGUCUCUCAGAAGAUCUAGAGUCUCUUCCAUGGAGCCUUUCUUUUGUGGUAUGUUCAGAGUUUCAGACACGAAAUUAGCAUAUGUAAAACAGAGUUUCAGAGGGAAAUAAUACUCUGUAAGAAGGAGGUAGUCUAUCUGUGAAUAAGUUUGGACAAAGGACUCGCAUGGGAAACAGGAUGUACAUAGAACGAGGCAGUACGCUAGAUAAAUUCUGGAAAUUCUGCUGGCUCAUUAGAGGAACAUCGCGAUCGAAGCGUAAACCUAGUACGAAGUUGUGUUUGAGACACUAUGGACUUCCGGAAUCGUAUUGCAACGGUAGAAGCAGUUGAACGUCAGCUAACCAGGACCAGAGGAACACAAAGCGGUGGAAUAAGAAAAUACAAAAAGAAAAAGAAGUAAAAGUGUAAGAAGAGAUGACACAGAAAAGGCCAUUGAGCUUAGAUCAGUAGAGCAAGAAGCACGACGCAGCUGUCAUGUUAAAUUAAUGAUAAAAAAAGGAGUAGCUGAGCAAUAGCUUAACUAUUAAAGGCUGUGCCUUUAUAAUUUUGUGUUGAGGAGCAAGGAGAGGAUCCUGAUUGCCCUACGUAAUGGGGAAAAUGUAAUGUUGUACCAUGUGCGAAGGUCAGGUUAAAGCCUAAUGGUUCACUGUCAGGUAGUAUGGAAUGACGUGGAUUUGGGUAUGGUCGUUGUCACACCGCUAAAGUCGUCAACGGACAAUGCUUGAAAGACAACCAAAACUGUCUCAGACUGUUUUCAGGAAUUCGAGGAGAAUUAAAAUGCAACAUCCUUCGAGCAACUAUCAUCCUGCUGCUCCGGUCUGCCGAAAACUGUGGGACGAGAUACCGUACGAAUAAUAAACAACGUGCAAGCUCACUCGAGAGCGCCAUAACGACGAAUCUACAUAAAACAAGCGUAAAAGGGCUCUUGUAUCGCGGUUGGACACGAAACACGCGGUAUAAUAAAGAAACGAAUCAGGAGAUUGCAGUGAGAACGAUAGAAAAAGGAGAAGAAGAGAAAGGAAGAGACACGAGAAGGAAGAAACGAAGAGGGAAAGGAUUCUGUUGCAGUUCAUAGCGAGUUAGGUGGCAAAGGUUUUAAGGCGAAGGCGAGAUGAAGAGACAGGGCGAGCAGUCGGCAGAUGAAAAUUUCGUUUCUUUCACCUACACACGCCGACGUCGAAGAAACGACCUCCGAUUGUAAAAACGAUGAAGCAAGACAUUAGCUUUAUGAACUGGAAGAAAAAACAAGGAAGAGAGAGAGAGAGAGAGACAGAGGAAGGAGAGUGGAAAGAAAGAGAGAGAAGACCGUGACCACGGAUCUGGACGUUCUCCAAAGCUACAGAAACUGUCGGUCGUGUUGCCGGUUGUUAGAGCCAUACAAAACCAAGAUUUUAAAGUCGACAACAAAGUGCCGCAAACUGGGACGCAACGAUUUCAGUCUCCGGGUUCGGUCGUUCGUUAUUAACGUUUUCAGGACUUUUCGCUGCAUUCGGUCCUUUAUUCCGUUCUCUUUGCCCUUUCUUCCCUCGCCGACUUUAUCCUCCUCCUUAUCGCUGUCUCUUUGUCUCCCGCGUCGGAUGUGUAUUUUACUGCACGUAAAAACGGAACUUGUAACGCAUUCAGCGUGCCUGAUACAUGCAACACGCGUAACUUCUUUUUAUGUUUCAUAUUCGCCACUUUUAUUUCUUUCCUUUCUUUUCUUCUUCGGGAGUUGGGAGGGAGAGAGGGAGGGGAGUGUCUUAGACAGUUUCGUUCCUACUCGGUGAAAAUUCUUCAAUGCCGCUGCUUCCAGCGAGAGGUCAAUGUUCUGUCGUUUAUCAACCAGCAGAUUUGUACAAAAUUGGGAUACGCAGCUGUCAGACGCGUUUAAAACACGCUGCGCGCAUUCCAUUGGUAGAAUUCGCUAUUAAUAUCUCGUUUUAUCAGCGUAUCUCAUAACGUUUAAAUGUUAAUCAAGUUGAUCCGACGUGUUCUCGGUUACUCAGUGUCCACUGUUGAAACGCGAAAUUCAUUAAAUUUUAAGGAGAUAUUCGGACUACGUAAUGGGAAUACUUCGGAGAUACUUGGAGGGUAAUUUAACACUAGAACUACCACACCAGUCAAAUUGACUGGUUUUACAAUUUUAUUUUAAAAUU